rnacentral:other from 1 species
CCCGCCCUGUGCUGCGCGUGAGGUUCCAGUCAACGUGAGCCAACACCACGUGACCGGGAAACCGGCUUCCGUUGGGGCAAGCAUGCCCAGAUUCGCCAGGGACGCAAGACCCCUCCGGAGAGGUUACCCACCUGUUUGAGGUUGGGUUCAGCGUGGACGGAACCCACGGCAGCGUCGGGGCGUUU